AACAAUUUUCUUUUAAAAUUAUAAAUACAAAUAGGUACACUACGGAGGUAAAUGAAAUGUAUUCUAAAAAAUUUGUUAUUAACAAAUAAUUUACAACAUAUUUGUUUGCAAUUUUCGUAGUAAUUUGAUGGUUUUAAAACCGCGCGAAUAUGGUUUUUAUGAAUCACGAUGUAUACUGAGCUACUUACAUUCGAGUCUGUUUUAAAGGAGGCUAGUAACGACUCGGAUAAAGUAACAUUAUUUACUUUAGCCGCUUUGCAAACGAUUCCUUUGGCUUUUUCGCGUUUUUCGUUGGCGAGAAGCCAUCGAACGGACUCUGGUAUAAACCUAAAAAUCAACUUGUGCAAUAGUAGAUUACAUGCGAGGUGGAAAAUGACAUUUCAAAUGACUAUUAGUAUAGAGAUUGUGAAUAAAAAUUAAUACAAUUGAUAAUUUACCAGUAAUAUAUGAAAAAUAAAAUCGACGGACUAGACACAAUGAGCUGUAACAAAACCCAGUCUUUGGUGUACCACGCGACAAGCGCGACCACAGCUUCACCCACAGCGUAAAAAUAGUUUAACACAAUUCCGGUGAUUUCCCGCUUCCUUUUGCCCACCAUUUCGACACCUGUUUGAAUUCAUGAAACUAAAAUUAUUGUAAUUUGAAUUAAUUACCGAUAAUGAAAGCCAAGGGGUAGACUCCGGCCGUCCCCAUUGCGUUGACAAACAUUAAAACAACAAAAGUGAUAUAUUCGGGGGAGACAACUUGGGCACAUCCUGACACACUCAUGAUAAGAAUACAAAUAAUAAAAAUCCUCUUGCGUCCAUACCUACGAGAAUUUUUACUGAUUUUUACAAUAGUGGAAAUUAGUCACCUAUCGGCUAAAAUCCCAAAUAAUCCCGAUCCCACGAUAAUCCCGGCGAAGUGACUCGUCCCCACGAAGGAGAGCUUCCAUUGGUUUUCCACACAAGUCAAGUUCCACUAAAAAAAAAUUAAAAAUAUUUUAAUCCUGAGAAUGUAGGUAACGCCAGAGGCGACCGAAGAGCGCCGAGGGCAUUUUCAUUAAUUGGGAGCAAAAAUGCUUUGUUAUUUUUACUCACAUCGUUUACUAUUGUCCGUUCCUCGGUGUCAAACACCCACUCGUUGCACGUUUCGGUCGCAUUCGUGAACAACUCUCUCGAACAAGGUGCGAUUUUGAGUCGAGUAUUUCGCUGGAGUCGCCCCCAGGAAUGGCAAAGUCGCGCCAAGGGACCUCGUAAGUGGCGUUUUCUGCAUCUUCGCACUCGGGAAUGAAGCAUCUGAAACGGUGAUUACCGCCAUUGCAAGCAAUUCAAAAAUCAAACCUGUAAUUUGGGAUUCCCGCCGUGAACACGUAACUUAGACUAUUCGCCGCAGCGAAGAAUACUGGAAGACACACCAGGAGGUAUGUCGUGAUUUGGUAUUUGCCCAACUCGCCCAACUCUUCCAACAUAUCGUCAAAGUCCAUGGUAAAUCUGCAAAUCACACGAUUUGAACAAUGCAAGUGAUAAGAUUGUUUAAACUUUAUAAACACAGAUUUGAAACCUCUGUUUGACAAUAAUAGAAAAUCUUAUCAAGUUUUUUUUUUAUUAUUUGCAACACAAUUGUUGAAAAAAUAACUGUUAUAUAAUUGGAAAUAUUUAUGUAACGCUGCUGCAAGGCCAAACACUGAAAAUAGCUAAUUUGUGAAACGAAAAUUACUUACUGCAACUUUAUCUCGUAACACAAGAAUGAAAACUAUCAGUAUUUGAUUGCAAGUGUGUCAUAUAAGUAGACGGAAUUUAGUUAACGAUCUGUGAUAAAUCAGAGAUGAAUUCUUUCUUAUAUUAAAUUUGUUUGGUUUUUCUUUUACGCGGGAUUCAAAAUGUGAGAGGGAUUUCCACCCAUUUGGUGGUAGGGAAAUGACUAAUUUGUAAACAGUGAUGAUUAGAUGUUUUCAUAAUUUUUAAAUCUGAGAUAAUUAAGUAAUUACAUACAAACACGCAAGAAAAAUUCCUGCAUCUGCAAUUUUUUGAUCAUUUGAUCUUUAUUAACUUUUAUUUUCUACUCAAUGUUAAAGAGUGCUUGUACCAACUAAUUUUAGUAGAUAAAGUAGUCUUUUAUCGUCUAGUGAAAUAAAGUAAUUUUUAUCUACUGUUUAUAUUCAAAAAAUUCUGGUAGGUGAGUACAAAAUAAAACGAAAUAUUAUACACGACGAAAGAUUGUUUAUCGUCUUGUGUAAUAAAUAACUAUUCCUCCAGAUAAAGUUCUAAUUUCAUGCCUCAGGAAUAAUAGUUGUUUAUGUAUCAAGGGAAUAAAUAUAGGUAAUACAUUUUCAUUCCCAACAGACUAAAUUAAUAAUAUCAUAAAAAAUGAUACAUUUGUCAAUUGUAAUUUUAAGAGUUAAAAUUGGUAUCAAGGAGUUUGUUUAUGUCAAAAAACACUCAAAAGAUUAAAUAUGCUUAUAUUUCCGGUUUUUAAGAGUAAAAAUCGGUGUUUGGUUUAUUUUAUUCCCAAGGAAUAAAGUACCAGAUUAUUAGUCAAAAGGGGCGCGUUAUUCCCUGUUGGGAAGAAAUAGUAGAUUACAUACCGAAAUGGAAGGUGCGUCAUUACCAAGCCGAAAUCUGAUCAAAGCGCGAAACGACCACCAAAUUUUGUAUACUAUUUUAUUCACAAUUAUCCUCUUUAAAAAUGAGAAAGCCAAUAAGAAUUUAUCAAAUUUUGAGUUUGACAGUUCAGAUUUUGAAGCAGUCACUUUCUUAUCAAUUUUCGGGUUUGAAAGUGGUCAUUUCCCAACCUAAACUGUCAUUAUUACAUAUCAACUGAUAAGAACGUAACCACUUUCCAAGAACUUUUACUCUUAAAAUUGUAAUUGAAUGAAUUGAAUAUUUUGACAAAUUUACAUUUUCUCAUGUUGUUUUUAAUUUAGACAGUUGGGAGGAAUAACUUUAAUUUUUAUGUUUAAGAGAUUUAUUUAUUAUAGCAAAUUGGAAAAAAAAGUGUAUAAUAAAGUCAAUGCCUUUAAUUUAUUUUUUUUAUGAAUAAUUUUAAUAUAAAGUCGCUAUUUGGGGAUCUGUCAGUAACAGUUGGUAAUAAAAAAUCUUUGUUAAAUGACAA